GAUGAACGCUAGCGGCAGGCUUAAUACAUGCAAGUCGUGGGGCAGCAGGACUGUAGCAAUACAGUUGCUGGCGACCGGCAAACGGGUGCGGAACACGUACGCAAUCUACCCAGAACUGGUGAAUAGCCCUCCGAAAGGAGGAUUAAUACACCGUAAUAUUAUAAAGUGGCAUCACUUAAUAAUUAAAGCUCCGGCGGUUUUGGAUGAGCGUGCGGCCCAUUAGGUAGUUGGUUGAGGUAAUGGCUCACCAAGCCUGCGAUGGGUAACUGGUGUGAGAGCACGACCAGUCGCGCGGGAACUGAGACACGGGCCCGAAUCCUACGGGAGGCAGCAGUAAGGAAUAUUGGUCAAUGGACGCAAGUCUGAACCAGCCAUGCCGCGUGGAGGAUGAAGGCCCUCUGGGUUGUAAACUUCUUUUAUGGGGGACGAAAUCACUUAUUCUUAAGUGUCUGACGGUACCCCAGGAAUAAGCACCGGCUAACUCCGUGCCAGCAGCCGCCGUAA
rnacentral:rRNA from 1 species